rnacentral:rRNA from 1 species
AUUGAACGCUGGCGGCAGGCCUAACACAUGCAAGUCGAACGAGUGGCGGACUGGUGAGUAAUGUCUGGGAAACUGCCUGAUGGAGCGGGAUGACUACUGGAAACGGUAGCUACUACCGCAUACCCUCCUAUCUGCCCCGAUGGGAUUAGCUAGUUGGUGGGGUAACGGCUCACCAAGGCGACGAUCCCUAGCUGGUCUGAGAGGAUGACCAGCCACACUGGAACUGAGACACGGUCCAGACUCCUACGGGAGGCAGAAGUGGGGAAUAUUGCGCAAUGGGCGCAAGCCUGAUGCAGCAAUGCCGCGUGUAUGAAGAAGGUCUUCGGGUUGUAAAGUACUGUCAGCGGGGAGGCGGUACCCGCAGAAGAAGCACCGGCUAACUACGUGCCAGCAGCCGCGGUAAUAC